rnacentral:sRNA from 1 species
CUUUUUAUUUUAUUUUUA